rnacentral:rRNA from 1 species
UACGUAGGGUGCGAGCGUUGUCCGGAAUUACUGGGCGUAAAGAGCUCGUAGGUGGUUUGUCGCGUUGUCCGUGAAAUUCCCUGGCUUAACUGGGGCGUGCGGGCGAUACGGGCAGACUGGAGUACUGCAGGGGAGACUGGAAUUCCUGGUGUAGCGGUGGAAUGCGCAGAUAUCAGGAGGAACACCGGUGGCGAAGGCGGGUCUCUGGGCAGUAACUGACGCUGAGGA